AUGAUGCUUGCUUCCCAGAUUGCUCAGCUACUCAAUCUUCAACAUGCCACUUUCCUAACAGACUAUGCGACAUUGGCGUCAGCUGUAGUUUCUCAAGACCUUAUUUCAGAUCCAGGUCAUUGGACAAUCAGACCUCAGCUCGCACAUAUUAAAGGUUCCACGGCGUUUGAUAUCACAAGGGUCUACCACAUUAACAGAGGCUAUAAUUUUCGUGCUCAUCAUCAUGCCAAGCUUGCUCUCAAAAUUCAGAAUACACCUUACAGGUUCAGAUGCUUAGGACUAGGCAAUGAAGCCUGCCUCAAUGCAGUUGUAGCUGCUCUUUCUACUGUGCUUAACUGCACAAUUGUACAUGUAUGCUGUUACUAA
rnacentral:rRNA from 1 species